GAUGAACGCUAGCGAUAGGCUUAACACAUGCAAGUCGAGGGGCAGCAUGGUCUUAGCUUGCUAAGGCUGAUGGCGACCGGCGCACGGGUGCGUAACGCGUAUGCAACUUACCUCACAGAGGGGGAUAACCCGUCGAAAGACGGACUAAUACCGCGUACACUCUAUGUUGGGCAUCCAAUGUAGAGGAAAUGAAAUUCGCUGUGAGAUAGGCAUGCGUCCCAUUAGCUAGUUGGUGAGGUAACGGCUCACCAAGGCGACGAUGGGUAGGGGAACUGAGAGGUUGAACCCCCACGCUGGUACCGCGACACGGACCAGACUCCUACGGGGGGCAGCAGUGAGGAAUAUUGGUCAAUGGGCGAGAGCCUGAACCAGCCAAGUCGCGUGAAGGAUGACUGUCUUAUGGAUUGUAAACUUCUUUUAUACGGGAAUAACAAGAGUCACGUGUGGCUCCCUGCAUGUACCGUAUGAAUAAGCAUCGGCUAACUCCGUG
rnacentral:rRNA from 1 species